rnacentral:snoRNA from 1 species
ACCCUCCAUGCUCCUUACCCCUCAGAUCUAAUAUUGGUUUGAGGGCUGAAAAAAAGGAAGAAAAAUAAAACUGAAGUGGACUUGGUGUCGUCUUGAGUUGUGUGUCUUUCAUUGUUGCCUGGG